AGUGAUUUCUGGAUCCCCUGUUCUGACUUUGGAAAUUCACCAUAAAUUUUACAAAUAUAAUUAGAAGUCACAAUUUAUAUGUACAGAUUCCUUAUUGAGUCUAGUUUUAUUAGAGACAAACGCCAUAGUAAUUGAAGCUCUGUACAGGGAGAUAUCUGAUUCGUAAUACACAGAGGUCAGAGUAGUCGAACCCUAAAAUAGGGGAGAAUUUAACUAAUAAAAUGUACUAAUUGGCCUGACCAAAAAUUCUAGAAAAAUA
rnacentral:lncRNA from 1 species